rnacentral:piRNA from 1 species
GCACUUAUCAAUCAGCCAAAUCUCAUGAA